rnacentral:rRNA from 1 species
GUGUCAGCAGCCGCGGUAAUACGGAGGGGGCUAGCGUUGUUCGGAAUUACUGGGCGUAAAGCGCGCGUAGGCGGCUUUGUAAGUCAGAGGUGAAAUCCCGGGGCUCAACUCCGGAACUGCCUUUGAAACUGCAUCGCUUGAAUGUCGGAGAGGUGAGUGGAAUUCCGAGUGUAGAGGUGAAAUUCGUAGAUAUUCGGAAGAACACCAGUGGCGAAGGCGGCUCACUGGACGACUAUUGACGCUGAGGUGCGAAAGCGUGGGGAGCAAACAGGAUUAGAAACCCCCGUAGUCC